rnacentral:tRNA from 1 species
UCCCAGAUGGCUCAGAGGAUAGAGAACCUGCCUGCAGUGCAGGAGACACCAGAGAUACAGGUUCAGUUCCUGGGUUGGGAA